GACGAUUUGAAGGGCGCAACCCAAAUUGUGAUAUGAAACCCGCCAUCAACGGAAACUCGAAAAGAAGCCCUUGUUCUUUCUGCACUCUUCACUCCUUCCUAAGCUCGUUUCGUUGGAAAUUGGAAUUCAAACUCACUCAUUCUCUCCCCGAGUUAGAGUCAUGUAUGCCGGUGGUGAGUGUUUUGUUCACUAUGUCUAUGUAUGCCCUCUACUUUCUGAUUAUUUUUAUUUAAUUUGUGCAGAUUGUUUCAUUGCUUUUGUGCAGUUCCAUGGAUGCUCUUUCGAAAACCUUUUAUACUAAAGAAGCUUCAUACUGAGGUGCCAGUUUCACCU
rnacentral:lncRNA from 1 species